rnacentral:rRNA from 1 species
GGACUACCCGGGUUUCUAAUCCUGUUUGAUCCCCUUGCUUUCGCGCCUCAGCGUCAGGAAUAAGCUAGAAAACCGCCUUCGCCACCGGUGUUCUUCCACAUAUCUACGCAUUUCACCGCUACUUGUGGAAUUCCGUUUUCUCCGCCUACCCUCUAGAGAUACAGUUUCAAAUGCAGUUCUGAGGUUGAGCCCCAGGAUUUCACAUCUGACUAUUAUCCCCGCCUACGCGCCCUUUACGCCCAAUAAAUCCGAUUAAUGCUUGCACCCUCCGUAUUACCGCGGCUGCUGGCAC